rnacentral:rRNA from 1 species
UACGGAGGGUGCUAGCGUUGUUCGGAAUUACUGGGCGUAAAGGGCGCGUAGGCGGCCGUUUGCGUCGGAUGGGAAAGCCCGGGGCUCAACCUCGGAACGGCAUUCGAUACGGGACGGCUGGAGACCGGGAGAGGAGAGUGGAAUAGCCAGUGUAGAGGUGAAAUUCGUAGAUAUUGGCUGGAACACCGGUGGCGAAAGCGGCUCUCUGGCCCGGUUCUGACGCUGAGGCGCGAAAGCGUGGGGAGCAAACAGG